GUCGAGAAUCUUCGGCAAUGGGGGAAACCCUGACCGAGCGACGUCGCGUGGUGGAUGAAGGCCUUCGGGUUGUAAACACCUGUUGGGGGGGAACAAUAACGAGUGAACCCCUGAGGAAGCACGGGCUAAGUUCGUGCCAGCAGCCGCGGUAAGACGAACCGUGCAAACGUUACUCGGAAUCACUGGGCUUAAAGCGCACGUAGGCGGCGACAUAAGUUAGAGGUGAAAUCCCAUCGGCUCAACCGUGGAACUGCCUCUAAUACUGUGUUGCUUGAGGGAGAACGGGGCAUUCGGAACUUCCGGUGGAGCGGUGAAAUGUGUUGAUAUCGGAAGGAACGCCGGUGGCGAAAGCGGAAUGCUGGGUCUCUUCUGACGCUGAGGUGCGAAAGCUAGGGUAGCGAACGGGAUUAGAAACCCUGGUAGUCC
rnacentral:rRNA from 1 species